GAUUAGUUUUUCUUUUUUUUUUAAAGUAGAGUUCCUAUAUAUUAAGUAAUACUUCAACUAAAAAAACGAGAACAGAGACUUCUCUUGUGGUCCAACAGUUAAGAAUCCAUCUGCCAAUGAAGGGGACACAGGUUGCAUGCCUUGUCCAGAAAGAUUCCACCUGCUGUUUGGCAACUAAGCAUUCGUACAACAACUGAGUCUGAAGGCAGGAACUGCUGAAGCCGGCAGGCCCUACAGGCCUACCCCUCUGCAACAAGAGAAGCCACCACAGUGAGAAGCCCGUCUACACCACAACCAGUGAGUAGUCCCCACUUGCUGCAACUAGAGAAAAACCCACAAGAAGCAAGGAAGACUCAACACAGCCAAAAGUGAAUAUCAAAAUAAAUAAAAUUGAAGAAUGAGAAGAAUCUUUGGGUCCCUCAAUGUAACAUUGAGAAACUCUUCCUCUUUGAAGUUUUAUGGCUUAGAACUCUGAUUUCAUCAUGAAAAAGUACUUAUGUGGGGUCAUUUCAUCCAAUAAUGAAAAUAGCCUGAUGGUGCACAUGUCUCCAGGGAUGCCCAAAACCCUGAAAGGAAGGACUCAAAAAAUCUUAUUUGAAUGAAAGAUUCAACAUUGCUCUGAGGUUCUAUCAAUCAUUUGAGUCAAAAGCCUUCCAGCCAAAUUUAUUGCCUGAGUAUGGUAAUCCACUCAAUUCAGGUAUGUCAAAGCAGUUAUUCA
rnacentral:lncRNA from 1 species